GAGCUCAAAUUUGAAAUCUGGGGCCCCCGGCCCCCGAGUUGUAAUUUGGAGAGGCAUCUUCGGGAGGAGCGCUGGCCAAUGUUCCUUGGAACAGGACGUCGCAGAGGGUGAGAAUCCCGUGCCAGGCCAGCCGCGCCCUUCCACGUGAAGCGCCUUCGACGAGUCGAGUUGUUUGGGAAUGCAGCUCCAAGUGGGUGGUAAAUUUCAUCUAAAGCUAAAUACCGGCGAGAGACCGAUAGCGCACAAGUAGAGUGAUCGAAAGAUGAAAAGCCUUUGAAAAUAGAGUCAAAAAGUACGUGAAAUUGUUGAAAGGGAAGCGCUUGAGACCAGACUCGGAGCGAGGCAAACAUCUGGCCCCGCGGGGCCGUGCACUUGCCUCGGGCCGGGCCAGCAUCAGUUGGUGCGGCGGGAGAAAGGCGCGGGGAAUGUGGCUCCCCUCGGGGAGUGUUAUUAGCCCCGUGCUCAAUGCCGCCCGCACCGACUGAGGACCGCGCUUCGGCUAGGAUGCUGGCUUAAUGGCCUUCAGCGACCCGUCUUGAAACACGGA
rnacentral:rRNA from 1 species